rfam:Ramlibacter sp. Leaf400 contig_2, whole genome shotgun sequence.
UCGGGAUCACAGCCUCCCGAUCCGCACAGGAAAGACGGUGUCCCGUCCAAGCGCUGG